GAUGAAAAUAUGGCGGGAGUAACGAGCCGGGGUUCCAUCAGCCCGCAAUACGGUGGAAAACUUAUAAUUGCCAACAACGAAUACGCUUUAGCUGCUUAAUUGCAACUAACGUCUCACCCGCGCCGGGACCGUGGCCUAGGCUGGGGCGUCACUUAAACGGGCUUGCUGUGAGGCCAAUUCUCUUAAGGCCUGGCGGGACUUCUAUCGAGAUAGCUCCCAAGGAGGGUGACUGCGGCCGCCAAGGGCGCGAAAUUCAAAUCACAGCGCAACGCUUUCGAGACACUCCUGUGGUCGUUCUUUCGGACGGUGGGUUCAACUCCCCCG
rnacentral:tmRNA from 1 species